UACGAAGGGGGCUAGCGUUGCUCGGAAUCACUGGGCGUAAAGGGCGCGUAGGCGGCGUUUUAAGUCGGGGGUGAAAGCCUGUGGCUCAACCACAGAAUGGCCUUCGAUACUGGGACGCUUGAGUAUGGUAGAGGUUGGUGGAACUGCGAGUGUAGAGGUGAAAUUCGUAGAUAUUCGCAAGAACACCGGUGGCGAAGGCGGCCAACUGGACCAUUACUGACGCGAGGCGCGAAGCGUGGGGAGCAAACAGGAUAAGAUACCCGAGUAAGUCCAUGACCAAGUACCUACGU
rnacentral:rRNA from 1 species